GGUUAAGCGACUAAGCGUACACGGUGGAUGCCCUGGCAGUCAGAGGCGAUGAAGGACGUGCUAAUCUGCGAUAAGCGUCGGUGAGGUGAUAUGAACCGUUAUAACCGGCGAUUUCCGAAUGGGGAAACCCAGUGUGUUUCGACACACUAUCAUUAACUGAAUCCAUAGGUUAAUGAGGCGAACCGGGGGAACUGAAACAUCUAAGUACCCCGAGGAAAAGAAAUCAACCGAGAUUCCCCCAGUAGCGGCGAGCGAACGGGGAGGAGCCCAGAGCCUGAAUCAGUGUGUGUGUUAGUGGAAGCGUCUGGAAAGGCGCGCGAUACAGGGUGACAGCCCCGUACACAAAAAUGCACAUAUUGUGAGCUCGAUGAGUAGGGCGGGACACGUGGUAUCCUGUCUGAAUAUGGGGGGACCAUCCUCCAAGGCUAAAUACUCCUGACUGACCGAUAGUGAACCAGUACCGUGAGGGAAAGGCGAAAAGAACCCCGGCGAGGGGAGUGAAAAAGAACCUGAAACCGUGUACGUACAAGCAGUGGGAGCCUCUUUAUGGGGUGACUGCGUACCUUUUGUAUAAUGGGUCAGCGACUUAUAUUCUGUAGCAAGGUUAACCGAAUAGGGGAGCCGAAGGGAAACCGAGUCUUAACUGGGCGUUAAGUUGCAGGGUAUAGACCCGAAACCCGGUGAUCUAGCCAUGGGCAGGUUGAAGGUUGGGUAACACUAACUGGAGGACCGAACCGACUAAUGUUGAAAAAUUAGCGGAUGACUUGUGGCUGGGGGUGAAAGGCCAAUCAAACCGGGAGAUAGCUGGUUCUCCCCGAAAGCUAUUUAGGUAGCGCCUCGUGAAUUCAUCUCCGGGGGUAGAGCACUGUUUCGGCAAGGGGGUCAUCCCGACUUACCAACCCGAUGCAAACUGCGAAUACCGGAGAAUGUUAUCACGGGAGACACACGGCGGGUGCUAACGUCCGUCGUGAAGAGGGAAACAACCCAGACCGCCAGCUAAGGUCCCAAAGUCAUGGUUAAGUGGGAAACGAUGUGGGAAGGCCCAGACAGCCAGGAUGUUGGCUUAGAAGCAGCCAUCAUUUAAAGAAAGCGUAAUAGCUCACUGGUCGAGUCGGCCUGCGCGGAAGAUGUAACGGGGCUAAACCAUGCACCGAAGCUGCGGCAGCGACACUAUGUGUUGUUGGGUAGGGGAGCGUUCUGUAAGCCUGUGAAGGUGGCCUGUGAGGGUUGCUGGAGGUAUCAGAAGUGCGAAUGCUGACAUAAGUAACGAUAAAGCGGGUGAAAAGCCCGCUCGCCGGAAGACCAAGGGUUCCUGUCCAACGUUAAUCGGGGCAGGGUGAGUCGACCCCUAAGGCGAGGCCGAAAGGCGUAGUCGAUGGGAAACAGGUUAAUAUUCCUGUACUUGGUGUUACUGCGAAGGGGGGACGGAGAAGGCUAUGUUGGCCGGGCGACGGUUGUCCCGGUUUAAGCGUGUAGGCUGGUUUUCCAGGCAAAUCCGGAAAACCAAGGCUGAGGCG
rnacentral:rRNA from 1 species